UUGGAUGUUUAACCAACUGAGCCAUCCAGCAGCUGGAUAAGAUAUCUGAGGAUCUGUGCCAGUCCACUGAGGCAAGGAGGAGUGACGUAGGUGUGUGCCACAGGAGUCUGCAGGGUUUGGACAUCGCAAAUGGGAUCGUUGUGUGCCUGAAACAGAAAACACUCCAUCAGAGGCUGGGUGAGCAUGGAGUGUGGCCAGAGACUAGGGACACCGGAAUGGUGGACUGCUUCUCUCGUAGGGCUCACUGAGGAGUGGGGCUCCCGAGCAUUCAGCUCCAGGGCCAGAAAUUGGGAGGCCUUGUUUUCAUUCUCAUCCUCUAAAGCAGAACAGAAAGCCCUCAGGGAACAAAAGCUACAUAGAGCGAUCCAGAACAGCUUUCUUAACCUGGCCCCCUGGCAAGGGCAGUGCAGUUCUGCCCAGGGCAAAGACA